rnacentral:rRNA from 1 species
CACUCCUGCGGGAGGCAGCAGUGGGGAAUUUUGGACAAUGGGCGAAAGCCUGAUCCAGCAAUGCCGCGUGUGUGAAGAAGGCCUUCGGGUUGUAAAGCACUUUUGUCCGGAAAGAAAUCCUUGGCUCUAAUACAGUCGGGGGAUGACGGUACCGGAAGAAUAAGCACCGGCUAACUACGUGCCAGCAGCCGCGGUAAUACGUAGGGUGCGAGCGUUAAUCGGAAUUACUGGGCGUAAAGCGUGCGCAGGCGGUUUGCUAAGACCGAUGUGAAAUCCCCGGGCUCAACCUGGGAACUGCAUUGGUGACUGGCAGGCUAGAGUAUGGCAGAGGGGGGUAGAAUUCCACGUGUAGCAGUGAAAUGCGUAGAGAUGUGGAGGAAUACCGAUGGCGAAGGCAGCCCCCUGGGCCAAUACUGACGCUCAUGCACGAAAGCGUGGGGAGCAAACAGGAUUAGAAACCCUAGUAGUCCCAUGA